AGCGAACGCUGGCGGCAGGCUUAACACAUGCAAGUCGAGCGGGCAUCCUUGUGGUGUCAGCGGCAGACGGGUGAGUAACGCGUGGGAACGUGCCCUUCGGUUCGGAAUAACUCAGGGAAACUUGAGCUAAUACCGGAUACGUGCGAGAGCAGAAAGGUUUAUCUGCCGAAGGAUCGGCCCGCGUCUGAUUAGCUAGUUGGUGAGGUUAUGGCUCACCAAGGCGACGAUCAGUAGCUGGUCUGAGAGGAUGAUCAGCCACACUGGGACUGAGACACGGCCCAGGCCCCCUCCGGGAGGAGGGGGGGGGGAAUAUUGGAAAGGGGGGCCACCCUGGACCACGCCUUGCGGGGGGAGUAGGGCGGCCUUUAGGGUUGAAAAGCCCUUUUCCCCGGGACGAUAAGGAGGUUCCGGGAGAAAAAACCCCCGGCUACCUUCGUG
rnacentral:rRNA from 1 species